rnacentral:lncRNA from 1 species
ACGAGGAAGGACGCAAAGUGAUGCAGUGAUGCACCUGUCAAUAUUUUGCCCGCCCGGGGGAGCGGCGGGCAUACACGGGACUUUAGACAGAAGGCCAUUCCCGACAGGCGGGAAUUAGACAAACAUUUGAUGUAUCAACAAGGCUCUAGGGUGGGAUUUAGACAAAAAUGGAUGUCUCUAGGGUGGGGAUUUAGACAACAAUUUUUUUGAAACGUCAAAUUCCCCUGGGUCAGCCCGCCGCCCCCCUGGGCGGGCAAAAUAUUGACAGUUGCAUGAGGAAGGACACAAAGCGGGAAAGAAAGGAACUGUGAUGACACUGAGGAAAUAUUCUACAAUCUUCACCAUGGUUACCGUUGAAUAGGGAUUCUCACACAGCAAUUGCUGUACAGUGUAAUGCCAGCAUGUAUGUUUUUCUAAGCAAGCGACCGUUUGUCAAGGCAGAAGCUGUUCAUCUGGACAGGAUGAGAGUGGUUGUUUUCCAAUGGCUGUAAGCAUGAAAUCACCUGGCCUUGUGCGGAAGACAUCUAUGAAUCGAUCAACCAGAUGUAUACCUCUAAAGAACUGUGGUGACACUGAGGAAAUAUUCUACAAUCUUCACCAUGGUUACCGUUGAAUAGGGAUUCUCACAUAGCAAUUGCUGUACAGUGUAAUGCCAGCAUGUAUGUUUUUCUAAGCAAGCGACAGUGUGUCAAGGCAGAAGCUGUGCAUCUGGACAGGUAAGGUUUCUUUUUAGAAU